rnacentral:lncRNA from 1 species
AUGAUCAAGGCCUCCUUGAAGGCUGGAGUGACCUGGAAUCACGGAAUCGGCAUAACUAGGGAGGGGCAUCGCCACCCCCCAUUCCCCAUUCUGGGAAUCAGCCAUCCCCCACCUCGCAGUAAGCAUCAGCAGUGGAGAGCAGGCUCCUGGGGAAGGUGGGAGACACUUCAGUGUUGGGGCAGGCCUGCGGUGGGGGGCCGGAGGGCUUUCACACUGUCCCAGUGCUGGACACCCUGCUUAGAGAAUCUGAGCUUUUCUACCUUGGAGGAUGCUGCCUGCUUCGAGGGGUUGGUUUGGUCUAGGGAGACGAUGGAUGGGAUCCUCCAUCCCAUUGAAAGAGCUAGAAAUGGCUCUCUGGGACUCGGGGAGGCUCUGGAAGGGUUCCAUUAUAUAGGAUUUCGACCAGGGCACCCCAAACAGGAAGCACACCCCAAGGGGAAGCUUGGCUGUGACCUGGCUGAUGCUCUCCGGGUCUCAUCUAGAGAAUUGACUGAUGACCCAACUGACUCCACUCCAAGAAAACCAGCCUUAUUGGAGGAGAAUAUAGUUGCGGAGCAGCUAGUAGAAUUCUGAGGAAGGCGAGAGUGAAGAAACUGAGCCUUGUUUGAGCCUCGGGAGCUGAAGCCCCUGUACCUGCUGCCCCGAGACCCCAGCCAAGGACCCAGGCGUGAGGAAUUUUCUCAUAACUGUGACUCUAAGCCACUCACAGUCUCAUCUGAAAGGUGGCCCCUUCCUAGUCAGCCAGUUAGCUUUGGGUGACACAUCGAGUGGACCUGCCACCAGCCCUGGGUAGGGCAACUCGGAUCUAGAAUUCUUUGGGGGGGUACAGGGCCUGGGAGAACCCCAAAGACCUUGUAUUGGGCCAUCUCAUCGUUUCUGGAGUUACCAGGCUCAGGCGCCAUUCUGGCUAAGGACAAUAACAUAGGACUGGGUUUCAAUGGAAUGGGCAUUCCCCCCACCAGCUUGGCAAGCCAUGAGGUGGCAGCUAGCUUGAGCCCCCCACCCCUAGCAGCAGCCCCCUUCCUGCCCAGUCCCUGGGAUCUCCGCCCCCUGUUCUCGUCAGGUCUUGCUGAUUUCCGGCCCUGAUUCUGGGACCUGGGACAGCUCCUUCCGAGCUUUUCCUCAUUCUGAGGAGGAUUCCUCCUUCCUUGGGCGUUGUCAGAGACCAUAUUGGGGACAACUUGACCUGAAACAAGAUUAAGGAUCUUUGGGAAACUGAACAAACAAGUUACCUCCCGAAAACGGGCGUCGCCAAGACCAACAGCCACAAACCAUAACAAUAAGCAUUCUUCGUGUUCCCUCCUGGUACAAGCAGUCUUUAAUCACCCCCCCCCCCCUUUACCUCAAGCACAUAUAUUCUGCCUUGCACCUGCAAUAAACGGAGCCUUGAC